rnacentral:sRNA from 1 species
GUACUGCGGAGGACAUUAAUGAAUAAACUUUGGUUUUCAGUUGUUGCUGGUUUUCUUCAUGUGCACGCUGAUAUACCAAUUUUUUCAAACCCACCUGUGCACUUUUUUUGAUAGAACUCAGAUAAUCUCUCAAGUGUUGACAGCUUGGAUUUUGAAAGGGCCAUUUGGCCCAUUCUUACAUCUGUGGUCUAUCAUUUCAACUAUAUAUUCUUUUGUUCAAAAAAGCAAAGAAACUUUGUUGACAUAUUUAAUAUACAACUUUCAACAACGGAUCUCUUGGCUCUCGCAUCGAUGAAGAACGCAGCGAAAUGCGAUAAGUAAUGUGAAUUGCAGAAUUCAGUGAAUCAUCGAAUCUUUGAACGCACCUUGCGCUCCUUGGUAAUCCGAGGAGCAUGCCUGUUUGAGUGUCAUGAAAUCAUCAAAUUCUUAACUAGCUUGUCACAAUGUCUGGUUUUGAAUUUUGGAUAUAUGGAGGACAUGCUGGCAUUGUAGUCAGCUCCUCUAAAAUGUAGUUAAAGCAAACCUCAUGCUAAUGUCUUUGGUGUGAUACAAUCUUUCAACAUCAGGCAUGGCUAUUUAGAGAUUGCUUUUGAAGUCCUUUUGGGACAAUCUGUUUGACAUUUUGACCUCAAAUCAGGUAGGACUACCCGCUGAACUUAAGCAUAUCAAUAGCCGGAGGAAAAG